AAGCUUGUAACUCAGUGGAUUUAGAGUACGUGUUUCCGACACACGGUGUCGUGGGUUCGACCCCCACCAAGCUUA
rnacentral:tRNA from 1 species